AAUACAAGAAGUCACUUGGAUGUCUAUCCACUCGUCAGUGACUUGCUUGAUGUUGCAGUAGUGUGACUGGUCCUUUGACCUGUGGUGCUUCGGCUACUCACAGUGAGGUUAUUGUAGUUUGACUGCACACAUACAUGGUCUCUAGCCAUAUGGGUCCAUGCAGUGUAGAUUGGCUGCAGUAGGUUCACUGUAGGAGUAGGGUAUUCACCUAUAAGGAAUCUAUCGACCUUGAUAGAUAAGGAGAGAUCCUAUGUGAUUUAUAAGACUGAGUUCGUAAGACCUCGGCCGGGGCAGUAUGCACAGUGGAGAAAGAGUUUUCCACUCUCGAACUUAAGUCGAAUAAAUCUUCACAUAUGACAGACGAUGGGGUUUGACGAGUUGUCCAUAACCUCCGUCCUGUAGGAUCC
rnacentral:lncRNA from 1 species